rnacentral:lncRNA from 1 species
ACGGCACUCGGCACUCUCUCUCACACUGCCGAUCACAACACACAAUACAUGACAGGACUAGUGUCUGGACUGGACCACUAAAGCAAGAAUUAACAAGACCAGAGUGGCAGAAUCCUAAACACGGCUGGGUCAAGGGCUGUGGGUGUCAGGCUGAAUUAAUAGGGAAUGUGGAGGAGAGUGACGCUGAGGUGAUCUCUGUGAUGACGACGCCUUAUUGCUUUCCAUGAACACUGCGGCUUCAUGCAUAUUUAUGAGUGGAAAUAUCGGUUUAACAACAGCCCUGUCUGCACACACCUUAUUCCAGGACUAAUGCUUGUUUCUGUGCGCCGCCAGUAUCCUGACAAUGAGCUUUAUACCCUUUCUAUUAACUCUAAAUGAAAGCUGGGAGAAAUGGCGUUGGCUUUGUGACCCAGCCACAGCAAAAGCAAAAAAAAAAAUGAAAUAAAAACUCAACACAAUAAUACCUGUUUGUAUAAA